CAGAAGUCGAAGAAAAACUAAAGGAAAAGAGCCAGCAACUCCAAGAAAAACAGCAACAGCUUCUUAAUGUACAAGAAGAGAUGAGUGAGAUGCAGAAAAAGAUUAAUGAAAUGGAGAAUUUAAAGAAUGAAUUAAAGAACAAAGAAUUGACAUUGGAACAUAUGGAAACAGAGAGGCUUGAGUUGGCUCAGAAACUUAAUGAAAAUUAUGAGGAAGUGAAAUCUAUAACCAAAGAAAGAAAAGUUCUAAAGGAAUUACAGGAGUCAUUUGAAACAGAGAGAGACCAACUCAGAGGAUAUAUAAGAGAAAUUGAAGCUACAGGCCUACAAACCAAAGAAGAACUAAAAAUUGCUCAUAUUCACCUAAAAGAACACCAAGAAACUAUUGAUGAACUAAGAAGAAGCAUAUCUGAGAAGACAGCUCAAAUAGUAAAUACUCAGGACUUAGAAAAAUC
rnacentral:lncRNA from 1 species